rnacentral:siRNA from 1 species
AUGAGGCAUGAUCUGCUGCUAGAU